rnacentral:rRNA from 1 species
UACGUAGGGUCCGAGCGUUGUCCGGAAUUAUUGGGCGUAAAGGGCUCGUAGGCGGUCUGUCGCGUCGGGAGUGAAAACUUACAGCUUAACUGUGAGCGUGCUUCCGAUACGGGCAGACUUGAGGUAUUCAGGGGAGAACGGAAUUCCUGGUGUAGCGGUGAAAUGCGCAGAUAUCAGGAGGAACACCGGUGGCGAAGGCGGUUCUCUGGGAAUAUCCUGACGCUGAGGAGCGAAAGCGUGGGGAGCGAACAGG